GCGUGUGUGAUGAAGCCCUGGGGGUAGUAAAGCACUUUCAAUAGGAAGGAAUACCUAUCGGUUAAUACCCGGUAGACUGACAUUACCUAUACAAGAAGCACCGGCUAACUCCGUGCCAGCAGCCGCGGUAAUACGGAGGGUGCAAGCGUUAAUCGGAAUUACUGGGCGUAAAGCGUGCGUAGGCGGUUAUUUAAGUCAGAUGUGAAAGCCCUGGGCUUAACCUGNGAACGGCAUUUGAAACUGGCAAGCUAGAGUUGAGUAGAGGGGGGCGGAAUUUCCGGUGUAGCGGUGAAAUGCGUAGAUAUCGGAAGGAACACCCGUGGCGAAGGCGGCUCCCUGGACUCAAACUGACGCUGAGGUACGAAAGCGUGGGUAGCAAACAGGAUUAGAUACCCUGGUAGUCCACGCCGUAAACGAUGUCAACUAGCCGUUGGCUCUCUUAGAGAGUUAGUGGCGCAGCUAACGCAUUAAGUUGACCGCCUGGGGAGUACGGCCGCAAGGUUAAAACUCAAAUGAAUUGACGGGGGCCCGCACAAGCGGUGGAGCAUGUGGUUUAAUUCGAUGCAACGCGAAGAACCUUACCUACCCUUGACAUCCAGAGAAUCUGUUAGAGAUAGUAGAGUGCCUUCG
rnacentral:rRNA from 1 species